CCUUGGAUCCAGACUUUGAUUAUGGCUCAGGACGAACGCUGGCGGCGUGCCUAAUACAUGCAAGUAGAACGCUGAAGAGAGGAGCUUGCUCUUCUUGGAUGAGUUGCGAACGGGUGAGUAACGCGUAGGUAACCUGCCUUGUAGCGGGGGAUAACUAUUGGAAACGAUAGCUAAUACCGCAUAACAAUGGAUGACACAUGUCAUUUAUUUGAAAGGGGCAAUUGCUCCACUACGAGAUGGACCUGCGUUGUAUUAGCUAGUAGGUGAGGUAACGGCUCACCUAGGCGACGAUACAUAGCCGACCUGAGAGGGUGAUCGGCCACACUGGGACUGAGACACGGCCCAGACUCCUACGGGAGGCAGCAGUAGGGAAUCUUCGGCAAUGGGGGCAACCCUGACCGAGCAACGCCGCGUGAGUGAAGAAGGUUUUCGGAUCGUAAAGCUCUGUUGUAAGUCAAGAACGAGUGUGAGAGUGGAAAGUUCACACUGUGACGGUAGCUUACCAGAAAGGGACGGCUAACUACGUGCCAGCAGCCGCGGUAAUACGUAGGUCCCGAGCGUUGUCCGGAUUUAUUGGGCGUAAAGCGAGCGCAGGCGGUUUGAUAAGUCUGAAGUUAAAGGCUGUGGCUCAACCAUAGUUCGCUUUGGAAACUGUCAAACUUGAGUGCAGAAGGGGAGAGUGGAAUUCCAUGUGUAGCGGUGAAAUGCGUAGAUAUAUGGAGGAACACCGGUGGCGAAAGCGGCUCUCUGGUCUGUAACUGACGCUGAGGCUCGAAAGCGUGGGGAGCGAACAGGAUUAGAUACCCUGGUAGUCCACGCCGUAAACGAUGGGUGCUAGGUGUUGGAUCCUUUCCGGGAUUCAGUGCCGCAGCUAACGCAUUAAGCACUCCGCCUGGGGAGUACGACCGCAAGGUUGCAACUCAAAGGAAUUGACGGA
rnacentral:rRNA from 2 species